ACACGUCAUACAAUGGUCGGUACAGAGGGUUGCCAAGCCGCGAGGUGGGAGCCAAUCCCUUAAAGCCGAUCGUAGUCCGGAUCGUAGUCUGCAACUCGACUACGUGAAGUCGGAAUCGCUAGUAAUCGCAGAUCAGCAUGCUGCGGUGAAUACGUUCCCGGGUCUU
rnacentral:rRNA from 1 species